rnacentral:misc_RNA from 1 species
GUACGAGAAAAGCAUGGAAGACACUAAGCAAUUGCAAAUUGAAAGUUUCCAACAGCUUCCUUCGCCUUCAUUAUUCGCAUCUCAGAUUGAAUCCAAAAACGUCCCCGCUGUUUUCCGUGGAUGCAUAAAGGAAUGGAAAGCCUUCACCCGGUGGAAUCCUGUUAACGGCGGCCUCAAUUAUUUGCAGGAACUGGUGGGAUCAUCUACCGUUGAGGCUAUGCUAUCCAGAUCCGCUCCUGUCUUUUAUGGUGAUCUUCGAAGCCAUGAGAGGGUUCCAAUACCAUUCUCCAC